AACGCGGAGCGGCAGGCCUAACACAUGCAGUCGAGCGGAUGAAGGGAGCUUGCUCCUGGAUUCAGCGGCGGACGGGUGAGUAAUGCCUAGGAAUCUGCCUGGUAGUGGGGGAUAACGUCCGGAAACGGGCGCUAAUACCGCAUACGUCCUGAGGGAGAAAGUGGGGGAUCUUCGGACCUCACGCUAUCAGAUGAGCCUAGGUCGGAUUAGCUAGUUGGUGGGGUAAAGGCCUACCAAGGCGACGAUCCGUAACUGGUCUGAGAGGAUGAUCAGUCACACUGGAACUGAGACACGGUCCAGACUCCUACGGGAGGCAGCAGUGGGGAAUAUUGGACAAUGGGCGAAAGCCUGAUCCAGCCAUGCCGCGUGUGUGAAGAAGGUCUUCGGAUUGUAAAGCACUUUAAGUUGGGAGGAAGGGCAGUAAGUUAAUACCUUGCUGUUGUGACGUUACCAACAGAAUAAGCACCGGCUAACUUCGUGCCAGCAGCCGCGGUAAUACGAAGGGUGCAAGCGUUAAUCGGAAUUACUGGGCGUAAAGCGCGCGUAGGUGGUUCAGCAAGUUGGAUGUGAAAUCCCCGGGCUCAACCUGGGAACUGCAUCCAAAACUACUGAGCUAGAGUACGGUAGAGGGUGGUGGAAUUUCCUGUGUAGCGGUGAAAUGCGUAGAUAUAGGAAGGAACACCAGUGGCGAAGGCGACCACCUGGACUGAUACUGACACUGAGGUGCGAAAGCGUGGGGAGCAAACAGGAUUA
rnacentral:rRNA from 1 species